rnacentral:lncRNA from 1 species
GCCAGCAAGGGAGACAGUGUCUAGAGGCAGUCAUCUAGCAAGAUGGAGACUUACAACAUGAGGCACAUACAAGAGUGACCUCCCAUCGUCUUUGAGGCAUUCUAUUUCUUGUGUCUUUGUGAAGCUUCCUAUCUUUGCUUUUCAACUAAGAUGAAACAGCAUUUAAAAGAAAAUGCCAUGUGAGAUGAGAUCAGGAGAAUGGAUUCUUUCUUUCAUCUGAAUAGAGAGCUGCUGUUCGAGAUUCUAACUCAAAUAGCUCAAAGGACACCUUCUCCGGGAAACCUUCCCUGACUUCCGACGCUGUUUCCUGUUGGAUGUGGUCUUGGAAAAAUUGCUACUUUUUGAAGUCUUGAAGUCUCAAUUUCUUUACCUGCCCCCCCGCCCCAAAAGUCAUUGAAAUCUGUUGUGAAGAUGACAGGAAAUAAAGGGUAACCAGAACAUGAGUUCCACAGUAACUGGAACAUGAGAGGUAGAGCCAGAAGGGGCAUCUAUGUAAAUCAUUUGGAGUUUUUGCCUUUCCUCUUAGAAGAAAAAUAUGAAUGAUUUGACUGAACAGGCCUAUAGCCAAACCCAAGAUGAUCUUUCCAAGCGUGAACUCCAUCUUCAAACUUCUAAUCUUAAACCUUAAAGAAGAAACUAUGGCAAUGUCUCUUCCACCACUCUUGACUAGCAUGAUGUGUUGCCAAAAGACUUCAGAUCAUAAGUGCGAAAUAAAAAAUCAAAAAUUGACUGCAUCUUUUCUCAUUGCUCAACAACUGUCAAACAACUGAGAAAUUUGUUUUGGAUGAAGCAGUAACAUUCCUUCUUCCACUCCCAGCCCCAUUCCACGUAGUCUGCAGUUCCUCACUGACCACUGAUUGAUGUCAACGUGCAAACUCUCAGACAGAAGACAAGAAAUAUGUCCUGGGUUUUCUGGUUCCUCAAGCUUCUGACUAGGACCAGAGCCAGCAAUUACACACACUUAUCCCUAUUCUUUCCAUGAAUGCAGAGAAAGAAAGACCUUCUUGGGCUGUAAGAAAUACUCUAUUCCUCACACAUAAUAACUAAGGCUCAGCAGCUUGUAAAAAGGCAUGGUCCAGGGCAUGUCAGGACAAGGAAGAGCGGUAAGUUGUUUCUCUGUCUUUCCUCUGUAUUCUUUCAUAAUUGGGACAAGGCCUCAGCUGACAAGGAGCUGGCAGAACACUGGGGACAGCUGGUAUGUAAGAACCAACACCGUCCCAUCAGUCAUUUAUUCAACACAUGUUUAUUGAGUAUCUGCAACGUGACUGCACCGUUAUAGAGUCUGCAUUGUUGUAGGUCCUGAGAAAAAAACUGCAAAGCAAAAGUACACACAGGCUUGCCCUCCUGAAAUGUACAGUCAGGUGGAGAUGGCAGAUAUUAAGAAACUAACUUGUGCUAUUGAAGUUUAAAAGAAAGGGAUCUUACUGAGUCUGAGGAGAGGGAUGAAUCAAUGCAGACUUCCUAGAAGAACUGGCAUAUAAACCAAGAACUGAAAGAGGAAUAGACAUUAAACCAGAAAACAGAAUGGAAGAAAAAUAGAUUUACGAUGCAAAAACCGUAAAGGAAAGAGUUCAGUAUGACUGGAAUAUAUAGACAGAAGAUAAUGGUUUAUGAUAAGACUGAAAAGGAAUGCAGGGUCUAGAUAAAGAGACUCUUCAAAUUAGUAAGAAUUUUUUUGAGACAAUAAAAGACCAUUUUGCUUUGGCAAAAUAAUAAUAAUAAUAACACUCAGUGUAGUGUGAACUAUAAAUUUAGGAGAGCAAGAGUAAUUGUGGGGAAAUCAGUUAAGAGACUUGCUUUAGCCAAGAAAACAGUUGAUGUUGGAUUAAACCAUGGAGAAGAUAAUGGAGAUAAUGACAAGUGGACAGAUUUUGGAAAUCAAUAUCUUUUGGUAAUUAAUUGAACAUAGGAGAAAGAAGAAAAGAUGGGGUUACAUAGGACUCUGAAAUUUCUGAACAAUCAGCUGGGAAGAUGAUAGCAUUAUUUGUUGUGUAAAGAACAUGAGAAGAGGCUCGGGAUUGGAAGGACACAUGAGGAGCUCUGGUUUUGACACAGUGAGUGUGGUAUAUGGGCUCUCACUUACGUGGGUCUAGAGCUAAGAAGAGAAGUCAUGGGUUGGACGCAAAAGUGUGGGUUUUGGCAGCAUUUAGGUAGUAAAAAUUUGGCAAAUGGUUAAGAGUAUAUUACAGGAAAAGAAAAUAAUUUAGGUCAGAGUCCAGAGGAAAGCAUACAUUUAACACAGAAGAAUAAAACCUGAGAAAUAACUGGUAAACGAGAUUAGGAAGCAGUCAGAGAGGAAGAAAGCCAGGAGGAUACGGUGUGGCAUGGAAGCCAAUGGAGAGAUUGUUUCAAGAAGAAGAAGAUAGUUAACAGUAGGGAAUUAUCAACAUAGAGAUUAAGAAAUGUGGAUUUACCAAUAAGGAGGACAUUCGUGUUCUUCAAAAUGAAAACCAGAGAAGAGGUAAAAGCAAAAAAAAAAAAAAAAAAUUGUCAAGAGGCAAGAACAGAACUUGAAAGAGAAUACCAGGAAACCAUGGAAAGUGAAGAUAGACUUAGAGAGUAUGGUCAAAAGUUAGGACAGAGAAAUCAGAUGAGCUGAUCUGAAAUCCAGAAACUAUUCAUGGAGAACACACCCCAGGCGAGUGACUUUUGAAAGUCCUUUCCUUUAUACUUACCUAUAUUAAUUGCUGAAUGUAAAAAUAUCAUAUUUUAAUUAUUUAUUACCAAAAUAAUGUAUUUCCUUGUGGAAUAACUUAAAAAAUGUAGAAGAGUAAAGAAAUGAUCCAUAUUCUUCGCAUAAAAAGAAAAACAAUAUUGAUGUUUGCUCUUUCCAUCAGAAUUGUCCAAAUAAAUAAUCAUUCUAUACACAUUACUUUGAAAUAUGUUUUCUUUGCAUAAUAUUUUAGCAUAACCAAUUAUAUUUUAUUAUAAGUUGGGUUGAGUUGGAUCAUUACAUUUGAAGUAAAAUUUAAGAAAUAGUAAUUAAACUUUUUAAAG